AACGAACGCUGGCGGCAUGCCUAACACAUGCCAGUCGAACGAGACCUUCGGGUCUAGUGGCGCACGGGUGCGUAACGCGUGGGAUCCUGCCCUUAGGGUCGGUAUAACUUCCCGAAAGGGGUGCUAAUACCGGAUAAUGUCUUCGGACCAAAGAUUUAUCGCAUUUGGAUGGGCCCGCGUUGGAUUAGCUAGUUGGUAGGGUAAAAGCCUACCAAGGCGACGAUCCAUAGCUGGUCUGAGAGGAUGAUCAGCCACACUGGGACUGAGACACGGCCCAGACUCCUACGGGAGGCAGCAGUGGGGAAUAUUGGACAAUGGGCGAAAGCCUGAUCCAGCAAUGCCGCGUGAGUGAUGAAGGCCUUAGGGUUGUAAAGCUCUUUUACCCGGGAUGAUAAUGACAGUACCGGGAGAAUAAGCUCCGGCUAACUCCGUG
rnacentral:rRNA from 1 species